UACGGAGGGUGCUAGCGUUGUUCGGAAUUAUUGGGCGUAAAGGGCGCGUAGGCGGUUAUGUAAGUCAGAUGUGAAAUACUUCGGCUCAACCGAAGAACUGCAUUUGAUACUACAUAGCUAGAGUACAGAAGAGGGAAAUGGAAUUCCCGGUGUAGAGGUGAAAUUCGUAGAUAUCGGGAGGAACACCAGUGGCGAAGGCGAUUUCCUGGUCUGAUACUGACGCUGAGGCGCGAAAGCGUGGGGAGCAAACAGG
rnacentral:rRNA from 1 species